AGAGUUUGAUCCUGGCUCAGAGCGAACGCUGGCGGCGUGCCUAACACAUGCAAGUCGAACGUGAAAGGGAGCAAUCCCAAGUAAAGUGGCGUACGGGUGAGUAACACGUAGGUAAUCUACCCUAAAGUUUGGAAUAACCGGCCGAAAGGCUGGCUAAUACUGGAUAGAGCGACGGAAUCCGUAAUUGGGUUUUUCGGGAA
rnacentral:rRNA from 1 species